rnacentral:rRNA from 1 species
GACGAACGCUGGCGGCGUGCCUAAUACAUGCAAGUAGAACGCUGAAGGAGGAGCUUGCUUCUCUGGAUGAGUUGCGAACGGGUGAGUAACGCGUAGGUAACCUGCCUGGUAGCGGGGGAUAACUAUUGGAAACGAUAGCUAAUACCGCAUAAGAGUAGAUGUUGCAUGACAUUUGCUUAAAAGGUGCAAUUGCAUCACUACCAGAUGGACCUGCGUUGUAUUAGCUAGUUGGUGGGGUAACGGCUCACCAAGGCGACGAUACAUAGCCGACCUGAGAGGGUGAUCGGCCACAAUGGGACUGGGACACCGCCCAGACUCCUACGGGAGGCAGCAGGAGGGAAUCUUCGGCAAUGGACGGAAGUCUGAACGAGCAACGCCGCGUGAGUGAAGGAGGGUUUCGGAUCGGAAAGCUCUGUUGUAAGAGAAGAACGAGUGUGAGAGUGGAAAGUUCACACUGUGACGGUAUCUUACCAGAAAGGGACGGCUAACUACGUG